GACGAAGGAUGCAAGCGUUAUCCGGAUUCAUUGGGCUUAAAGGGUGCGUAGGUGGCCUUGUAAGUUAGCGGUGAAAUCUCUGGGCUUAACCCAGAAAUUGCCAUUGAUACUGUAGGGCUUGAGUACAGUUGCUGUGGGCGGAAUAUGACAUGUAGUGGUGAAAUACAUAGAGAUGUCAUAGAACACCGAUUGCGAAGGCAGCUCACAAAACUGUAACUGACACUGAGGCUCGAAAGUGCGGGGAUCAAACAGG
rnacentral:rRNA from 1 species